rnacentral:rRNA from 1 species
CACGUAGGGCGCAAGCGUUGUCCGGAAUUAUUGGGCGUAAAGAGCUCGUAGGCGGUCUGUUGCGUCUGCUGUGAAAACUCGGGGCUUAACCCCGAGCCUGCAGUGGAUACGGGCAGACUAGAGGUAGGCAGGGGAGAAUGGAAUUCCCGGUGUAGCGGUGAAAUGCGCAGAUAUCGGGAGGAACACCGGUGGCGAAGGCGGAUUCCUGGACCAGUUCUGACACUGAGGAGCGAAAGCUAGGGGAGCAAACAGG